AAAAAGAGAAAAUAAAAAUUUUUGUCUAUAAUUAAAUAAAAUAAAACUUCAAAGCUACGGUAAAAGCCAUUAAAUGGCUUAAAUAUUUCUGUGUCUUGUGUAAUAAUUGACUUAGGAUGUAGUAAAUAGUAAUUUUUCCAUAAAUAUAUUGUUUGAAAAGUGAUGCUAUUCAGCACGAAAAUUCGUGCACUAAUUAAAUAGACCAAGAAAUGUAGACAGUUGAAU
rnacentral:misc_RNA from 1 species